CAGUGCAUGUAUCUAUGGUUUUCGAUGACAAUAGUUAGAAAUUUUUUUUAUAGGUUUUAUAAUGAUUGGCACGAAGAGAAUAUGUUGUAUGAAAUUGAAAUUUAAAGGCACCUGAACUUGUAAGCUACUAACCGGACAUUGGAUAUUGGCAACUUUUGUGCAUUUUAUUUUUCAGGAAUUCAGAUAUGUGUCCACAUUGGCAUUUAGAAGGGCUAUGAUACUUGACACGAGUUAGUAAAAUCAUAAGUAGCUCAUAUAUCUAUAUUUCUGCUUUUCUCUGGAAAAUAUCUAUAUUUCUGCUAAAUUUUCCCAUUAAUCGUCCACGUACGCAAAGUUUCAAGUCUACAAAAGGAGCGCCAACUUCUUCAAUCUACUGUUGAAGCUCUUCAACAAGAUAAACCAAGAGAUGGUACUGGAACAGGUGGCCUUAUCCUCAGCCGGUGAGCCCGUGAGCCCCUCCUUCUUUCCCAGCCACACAGCAGCGUCUCAUCCUCAUCCUUAUGUCUCUCCUCUCUGACGCCUCCAUCUCCACGCUCUCUUCUUUUCCCUCUUGAAGCAGUAGCGAGCAGAUCAGCAGGCCAGCAGCCAUCGGCUUGUCCCUUGGCUCCCUGCCCCCUCGGGCCUUCCCUUCGCCUGUCCAUGCGGGCAUGGCUAGUGCCGGCCGACCACGGGGCCAGCCAGGCCGAGGCAGCGUGGGGCCAGGAGUGACGCGGCGACGGGUGGCGGCCGGGGCCGGGGGUGUGGCUGGCGCGCGCAGCCCCGUUCCCCUCCCUCCUUGUCGUGGCGGGCGCCCGGGCUCUCCCCUCCCCUCCGGCACUCCGUGGGCCGGCGCGACACCCUUCCCCUCUCCUCCAUGGCCAGGCGGCGGCCGGCGACCAGGGCUGGGGAUGCGGUCUGCGGGUGCGAGGAGUCUCGGCCCCGCGGGUCCCUCUCCUAUGUGGACCGGCGGCGGCUGGCUGCGAAGCCGAAGGUGCGGCGCGGCGCGGCCCCUCCUUCCUCUCCGUGACGCGGCGACAACCAGCGUCCGGGGCGGCCCGGCGAGGAGCCGGCCGGGGGCGCGGGCGAGGGUGGGUCCUCAAUGGCCAAGCGGCGGCCGGCGACCGGGGCUGGGGAUGCGGUCUGCGGGUGCGAGGAGUCUCGGCCCCGCAGGGCCCUCCCCUCUGUGGACCGGCGGCGGCCGGCUCCCGAAGCCGGAGGUGCGGCGCCGCGCGGCCCCUCCUUCCUCUCUGUGACACGGCGACAACCAGCGGCCGGGGCGGCCCGGCGAGGAGCCGGCCGGGGGGCGCGGGCGAGGGUGGGUCAGUGGGGAUGCCUCGGCAUGCCGCUGGCCGUUCGUGGCCGGAUCGACGGCUGAGAUUUUUUUUCGAUGACGUGGCACGCUGACGUCGCACCUUUUGGUGCGCGAAUCGUAGUAUAGAGAUUAGCCGUGAAUUGUGCCUCUACCACACUUGCAUGGCUGGCUGGAGACUUGCUGGAGCUGAAUUGGCUGGCUGUUCCAGCAAGUCAACUAGCCCAUCCACUUUAUUCCAGCCGAACAGGACCUUUACUGGCGCUCUUCUGUUUAGCUGCUUUGGGGUGUUUAGUUGGUGAAAAAGUUUGAAUUUGGCUGCUAUAGCACAUUUCGUUGUUAUUUGACAAUUAAUGUCCAAUCAUAAAUUAAUUAGUAUCAUUAGAUUCAUCUA